rnacentral:lncRNA from 1 species
UAAUUUUUAAGGAUUUUUUUAUAAAACAAUCUUCUAGAAUUUUAAAAUUUGCAAAAUAAUCCUCUUAAAAUUUUGUUUGGAAAACUAACUCUCUUUUCGUCACGUCGGCGUCACGUCAGAAUUUCUUUUAAAGUCGGUGAAUCGUUUCCCGUUUUCUCCCCUUUUUUUUUAAAGACAGUGAAUCAUUUCCUGCUUUCUGCUAUUUCUUUUAAAGACGGUGAAUCGUCCCCGCUUUCUCCCAUUUCUUUUAAAGGCGGUGAAUCGUUCACUGUCUUUCACUUAUUUAUUGUUUCUUUCUAUAUCUCAUAUAUAAUCUUAACAACUACAUAAAAAUUUUAACAAAUCACAUAUAAUCUUAACAACCAAUUUAUCCAUAUAAUUUUAUAUAAUUUUAACAGUCUGAAAAUUAUAAUAAUCUAUCCAUACAAUCAUAAUAAUCAAAUAAAAAUUUUAAUGAUCCACAUAUAAUCCUAAAAACCUCACUUUUUUCUAUUUCAUAUAUAAUCCGCUUAUAAUUUUACUGAAUGCGGUGAACGAUUCACCGUCAUUAAAAAAAAAGGGAGAAAGCAGGAAAUGAUUUACCGCCUUUAAAAGAAAUGGGAGAAAGCGGAAAACGAUUCACCGUCUUUAAAAAAAUGGGAGAAAGCGGAAAACAAUUCACCACCUUUCAAGAAAUGGGAGAAAACGAGGAAUAAUUUACCGCCUUUAAAAAAAAUUCUGACAUGGCACCAACGUGGUGAAAAAAGGGUUAAUUUUUCAAAUAAAAUUUUGACAGGGUCAUUUUGCAAAUUUUAAAUUUUCACAGAGUUAUUUUAUAAAAAUGUCUAAUUUUUAA